CAUGCCGCGUGUGUGAAGAAGGUCUUCGGAUUGUAAAGCACUUUAAGUUGGGAGGAAGGUCUGAUGCCUAAUACGUAUCAGUCUUGACGUUACCGACAGAAUAAGCACCGGCUAACUCUGUGCCAGCACCUGCGGUGACUGAGCGGGCUGGCAAGGCGCAUA
rnacentral:rRNA from 1 species